AAAUUGAAGAGUUUGAUCAUGGCUCAGAUUGAACGCUGGCGGCAGGCCUAACACAUGCAAGUCGAACGGUAACAGGAAGCAGCUUGCUGCUUCGCUGACGAGUGGCGGACGGGUGAGUAAUGUCUGGGAAACUGCCUGAUGGAGGGGGAUAACUACUGGAAACGGUGGCUAAUACCGCAUAACGUCGCAAGACCAAAGAGGGGGACCUUCGGGCCUCUUGCCAUCAGAUGUGCCCAGAUGGGAUUAGCUUGUUGGUGAGGUAACGGCUCACCAAGGCGACGAUCCCUAGCUGGUCUGAGAGGAUGACCAGCCACACUGGAACUGAGACACGGUCCAGACUCCUACGGGAGGCAGCAGUGGGGAAUAUUGCACAAUGGGCGCAAGCCUGAUGCAGCCAUGCCGCGUGUAUGAAGAAGGCCUUCGGGUUGUAAAGUACUUUCAGCGGGGAGGAAGGUGUUGUGGUUAAUAACCGCAGCAAUUGACGUUACCCGCAGAAGAAGCACCGGCUAACUCCGUGCCAGCAGCCGCGGUAAUACGGAGGGUGCAAGCGUUAAUCGGAAUUACUGGGCGUAAAGCGCACGCAGGCGGUCUGUCAAGUCGGAUGUGAAAUCCCCGGGCUCAACCUGGGAACUGCAUUCGAAACUGGCAGGCUUGAGUCUUGUAGAGGGGGGUAGAAUUCCAGGUGUAGCGGUGAAAUGCGUAGAGAUCUGGAGGAAUACCGGUGGCGAAGGCGGCCCCCUGGACAAAGACUGACGCUCAGGUGCGAAAGCGUGGGGAGCAAACAGGAUUAGAUACCCUGGUAGUCCACGCCGUAAACGAUGUCUACUUGGAGGUUGUGCCCUUGAGGCGUGGCUUCCGGAGCUAACGCGUUAAGUAGACCGCCUGGGGAGUACGGCCGCAAGGUUAAAACUCAAAUGAAUUGACGGGGGCCCGCACAAGCGGUGGAGCAUGUGGUUUAAUUCGAUGCAACGCGAAGAACCUUACCUGGUCUUGACAUCCACAGAACUUUCCAGAGAUGGAUUGGUGCCUUCGGGAACUGUGAGACAGGUGCUGCAUGGCUGUCGUCAGCUCGUGUUGUGAAAUGUUGGGUUAAGUCCCGCAACGAGCGCAACCCUUAUCCUUUGUUGCCAGCGAUUAGGUCGGGAACUCAAAGGAGACUGCCAGUGAUAAACUGGAGGAAGGUGGGGAUGACGUCAAGUCAUCAUGGCCCUUACGACCAGGGCUACACACGUGCUACAAUGGCGCAUACAAAGAGAAGCGACCUCGCGAGAGCAAGCGGACCUCAUAAAGUGCGUCGUAGUCCGGAUUGGAGUCUGCAACUCGACUCCAUGAAGUCGGAAUCGCUAGUAAUCGUGGAUCAGAAUGCCACGGUGAAUACGUUCCCGGGCCUUGUACACACCGCCCGUCACACCAUGGGAGUGGGUUGCAAAAGAAGUAGGUAGCUUAACCUUCGGGAGGGCGCUUACCACUUUGUGAUUCAUGACUGGGGUGAAGUCGUAACAAGGUAACCGUAGGGGAACCUGCGGUUGGAUCACCUCCUUACCUUAAAGAAGC
rnacentral:rRNA from 26 species